rnacentral:rRNA from 1 species
AUUGAACGCUGGCGGCAGGCCUAACACAUGCAAGUCGAGCGGUAGAGAGGUGCUUGCAUCUCUUGAGAGCGGCGGACGGGUGAGUAAUGCCUAGGAAUCUGCCUAGUGGUGGGGGAUAACGUUCGGAAACGGACGCUAAUACCGCAUACGUCCUACGGGAGAAAGCGGGGGAUCUUCGGACCUCGCGCCAUUAGAUGAGCCUAGGUCGGAUUAGCUAGUUGGUGAGGUAAUGGCUCACCAAGGCGACGAUCCGUAACUGGUCUGAGAGGAUGAUCAGUCACACUGGAACUGAGACACGGUCCAGACUCCUAGGGAGGCAGCA